CCUUCAGCAGCUCAGGCGUGCUUCUCAAGUAGUGGGAGUUGUUGGCUGGCAGUCAUUACGCUGUUGUGGAUUUGAGGAGUUUGAUAUGUACAGCGUGGUUCUCAGGUUCUGCCAAAAAGCUGUGACUGUCAUGCAGGUGACAUUUAACAGAGUACAUCCCUCAAAGGCAAGCAGGGGGUACACAUGGCAUCUGCCAUUUUGUGAAUAUCCAUUCCAGUGACACUCAGUGGAGGGGAGAGGUGGCUGAUCUUCCAGACUGGCACAGGCAGGCUAUCAGUCCUUUCAAGCAGUGGCAAAAUGCUUUGGCUGGACAUCUAUAAAUGACUGUGAGAAGCUGCCAGCCCCAGAAUAAAAGCCACCAUUAAAGUUGUAAUGAUGACUGCGUUGCCCCUUUAAAUGCCUGGC